rnacentral:lncRNA from 1 species
AUGGACUGUCAGUCGGGCAAGAGGCUCUGGAGGUUUCUGGAGAACAGGCAAGGACAGGAGGCUCCCUCCUGGGAGAGGCAGCCAGGGGACGGGCCAGCGGUGUGGCAGCCGUGCCAGGGGGUCCUUCAGGAGGACUGGGUGCAGCUGCCUCUGGGCUCCUUGGAGGGGUCGCAGAGGGACUGUAGGCAGAGACCACCUCUGCCCCCACGCCGCGUGCGGUCUCCUGCCCCAGCUCAGAGCCCUCUUGCUGGUGGCGAUGAGCAGUUUCUGGGUCCAGGGACUCCUCGGCAGGAGAGGAACCAGGUAAAGAAAAGGGCUGGUGGGAGCAUCCUGUGGGUUCUGGGGCAGGACUCGGAGCUAUGGGGGAUGGAACCUCGGCUCCAGGCUCUGUUUGAGUCCCCGGGAUCCUGCUCAGGGGACAAGAGGCCUCUAGAGACAGGUCACGGGGAGGAGAGACCUCAGGGGCGACCAGAGCCAGCACAGUGGGACCCUCACGCUCUCCUUGUUCUAUGCAGCUCUCUUCUCCUCCUCGGCUGGGUGUGUCCCCCUCCCCGCCCUCUGGUUCCUCCUCCAGUGACCCCACUUCUUCCUCCUGCCCCUCUGCUGCCUUGGCUUCCCACUGUGCACCCGGAUCUUCGGGCUUUCCACUUCCUUUCUCUGACUUACUUGCUGAGCUUUGAUUCUCCCCGUCCUGAGCACCCACCUCAUUCUCCUCUGGCCCUGUUAACUCCCCCCCUUUCUGCUCCCCUUGUUCUGGAUCCCCGUGGCUCCAAGUCCUCCAGUCCCACUCCCCAUAACUUAGACCCCCCAACUCCUCCCCGCAGCACCACCCCUCUCUUUCUCCUGGAUCUUUGAGCACCAUGUCAUUUUGCAUCUGCUGCUGUUUCUGUCUCCCUUCUUCCUCUGCACCUUUAACCUGCUCUCCCAUCUGCUCUGGAGCCCCGGAAAGCCCAGCAGAGCCAGCAGCCUCUCCCUGAGGUCCCCCUUCCUCCAGCCUCUCAGUUCCCUGGAGACACACGAGGCCUGGACUUUCCUGCCUGGCAGGUCCACACCCGAGUCCUCCAGGGGAGGCAGGGGCGGAGGUUCAUGGAUCAUCAGGUCCAUGGGGGCUGCAGGGGCUGGGAGGAGCCACAGGCAGGAGACCCGGGGCAAAGGCCCAGUGCUUCGUGGGUCCCCACGGCUGACUGUCAGGGGCUGCCGCCGUGGCUGGAUUUGAAGCCGGUUCUC